rnacentral:lncRNA from 1 species
GCUCAAGCUGCUGAUCAGACUUCUAACCCCUUGCUCUCUAGUCACUCUGGCCUUGGUGAGAAAAGAAAACUUAUGGCAGUAAUGAGCUUACCUUGCAGGACCUCCAGUCUGCAGAUCGCCAGCCCACUGCAUGGAGUUCACUGCCCUGGACCAGAAGGCAAGGAGGAGCUGAUCAUCCCUAUCUCCGAGUCACUUCCGCAACCUAUACAAUCCACCAUUGUGCUGAAGGGAGCCUGGGCUCCCCCUCCUAUUUCACACCCUCUCUGCCCUGCUGGACAAUAAGCGAAACCAAAGUAGCAACCAUGCUCUGAUCAUCAGUGAUCUCCACACCCAGCACAGCCCUAGCCCAUAUCAGAGGCUUCAUUAUUGAGUGAAUGAAUGAAGCAAUGAAGGAAGAGGAGGAAAGAAAUACUCAGUGAAUUCUACGUCAACUGAAGUCAACUCCUGCAGAACCCAACCAAGGACACCAAGAGAAAAGAGAUCAGAAGCAGGGUACAGGAAUUCCCAUCGUGGCUCAGUGGUUAAUGAACCCAACUAGUAUCCAUGAGGAUGUGGGUUCGAUCCCUGGCCUCAAUCAGUUGGUUAAGGAUCCGGCGUUGCUGUGAGCUGUAGUGUAGAUCACAGGCUCAGAUCAGAUCCCUCGUUGAUGUGGCUGUGGUGUAGGCCUGCAGCUACAGCUCCAAUUUGACCCCUAGCCUGGGAUACAUGCCUCCAGUGUGGCCCUAAAAAGACAGAGAAAAAAAAAAAGGCAAAUAAUGUGUCAGUACCGAGCCUCAUGAAAGUGUUUCAGAGAAAUCCCCACCCCACACCCAGGGUUUCUGGAACCACACUUUGAGAACUGCUGAAUUAAGAUAUAGAUCAUGUGGGAGUUCCUGCUGUGGCACAGUGGGUUAAGAA